rnacentral:rRNA from 1 species
UACGGGGGGAGCAAGCGUUGUUCGGAAUUACUGGGCAUAAAGCGCACGUAGGUGGUCCGCUAAGUCGCGUGUGAAAUCCCCCGGCUCAACCGGGGAAAUGCGCGUGAUACUGGCGGGCUUGAGAUCGGGAGGGGUGAAUGGAACUCCAGGUGGAGCGGUGAAAUGCGUAGAUAUCUGGAGGAACACCGGUGGCGAAAGCGGUUCACUGGCCCGACACUGACACUGAGGUGCGAAAGCUAGGGUAGCAAACGGG